AUCCUACAUUCCAAGUCAUUGGUGCUCCAAGCGCAUGCCUUGGGCGUGCACUGGGAUUCUUGUGUUGUGUACCGAACGGAAGGAAUUGUCCCACAAAAAAAAGUUGUUCGCUUCGUGUCACUNUGUGCCAUGAGGUGAACCCCGAAGUGCUUCUUGUUGUCCAUGUCACACGUCCNNUAUUUUUUAGGGCAGCGAUGUGGCUCACUGGAUGCUACUUGUGCUCUCGGAUGUGGAACCUUANUGCGGGCAUGGGGUCUUGUUGCCCAUUUUGCCCUUGCUAAGCGUCCGUCGCUCUUUGCGUACGACUAUCGUGCCCGUCUUGACUUGGUUGUGGAAACGUGGCCAAUCUCAUGCGGUACCGAUGUCGUUGAGGAAUGCUACCUGGUUG
rnacentral:misc_RNA from 1 species